UACGAAGGGGGCUAGCGUUGUUCGGAUUUACUGGGCGUAAAGCGCACGUAGGCGGAUUGUUAAGUGAGAGGUGAAAUCCCGGAGCUCAAACUCCCGGAACUGCCUUUCAUACUGGCAAAUCUAGAGUCCGGAAGAGGUGAGUGGAACUCCUAGUGUAGAGGUGGAAAUUCGUAGAUAUUAGGAAGAACACCAGUGGCGAAGGCGGGACUCACUGGUCCCG
rnacentral:rRNA from 1 species